CGCGGUGAAUACGUUCCCGGGCCUUGUACACACCGCCCGUCAAGCCAUGGAAGCUGGGGGUACCUAAAGUGCGUGACCGCAAGGAGCGUCCUAGGGUAAAACCGGUAACUGGGGCU
rnacentral:rRNA from 1 species